rnacentral:misc_RNA from 1 species
UCCGGUUUGUCACCGGCAGUCUCAUUAGAGUGCCCAACUGAAUGUAGCAACUAAUGACAAGGGUUGCGCUCGUUGCGGGACUUAACCCAACAUCUCACGACACGAGCUGACGACAGCCAUGCAGCACCUGUGUUCCCGUUCCCUUUCGGGCACCCCCGGCUCUCACCGGGCUUCGGGACAUGUCAAGGGUAGGUAAGGUGGGGAUGACGUACUCGGAUUCUAAG